UACGUAGGGUGCAAGCGUUGUCCGGAAUUAUUGGGCGUAAAGAGCUCGUAGGCGGUUUGUCGCGUCUGCUGUGAAAUCCCGAGGCUCAACCUCGGGCCUGCAGUGGGUACGGGCAGGCUAGAGUUCGGCAGGGGAGACUGGAAUUCCUGGUGUAGCGGUGAAAUGCGCAGAUAUCAGGAGGAACACCGGUGGCGAAGGCGGGUCUCUGGGCCGAUACUGACACUGAGGAGCGAAAGCGUGGGGAGCGAACAGG
rnacentral:rRNA from 1 species